rnacentral:rRNA from 1 species
UCAAGCUACAAAGAGCGUAUGGUGGAUGCCUUGGCACUAGGCGCCGAUGAAGGACGUGACAAGCUGCGAUAAGCAACGGGGAACCGCAUAUAGGUUGUGAUCCGUUGAUGUCCGAAUGCGGAAACGCAAUACUCUUAGUCGAGUAUUAUCAUUACAGGAAUCAAUACUGUAAUGAGGGGAACCCAGGGAAUUGAAACAUCUUAGUACCUGGAGGAAGAGAAAGAAAAAUCGAUUUCCUAAGUAGUGGUGAGCGAACGGGAAUGAGCCCAAACCAUUGGUGGUAACACUGAUGGGGUUAGGACUGAUAUCACGCAAAGAGAUUCGUAGUUGAAUCCGUUGGAAAACGGAGCAAAAUAGAGUGAUAGCCUCGUAAACGAAAUGAAUCUUGAGCAUUCAGUAUCCAGAGUAACCCAGAGCACGUGAAAUUCGGGGUGAAGAUAGGAGGACCAUCUCCUAAGGCUAAAUACGACCUAGUGACCGAUAGCGUAUAGUACCGUGAGGGAAAGGUGAAAAGUACCCCGGGAGGGGAGUGAAAAAGUACCUGAAACCAUAUGUUUACAAUCAGUCGAAGCACUACUUAUAGUGCGACGGCGUAAUUUUUGCAUACUGGCCGGCGAGUUACUGGUAUGUAGCAAGGUUAAGAGAUUAAGUCUCGGAGCCGAAGUGAAAGCGAGCCUGAAUGGGGCGAUUAAGUUGCAUGCCGUAGACCCGAAACCCGUUGACCUAUCCAUGGUCAGGUUGAAGCGAGAGUAACAUCUCGUGGAGGACCGAACCAGGGUUCACUUAAACGGACUUGGAUGAACUGUGGAUAGCGGAGAAAUUCCAAUCGAAACGGGAUAUAGCUGGUUCUCCUCGAAAUAGCUUUAGGGCUAGCCUCAAUCUUAGAUUAUCGGGGGUAGAGCACUGAAUGAGUACGGGGGUUUCGCGACCUACCAAACUUUAUCAAACUCCGAAUACCGAAUAAUUAUAUGAUUGGGAGUCAGACUACGGGCGAUAAGGUUCGUUGUCGAAAGGGAAAGAGCCCAGACCUACAUCUAAGGUCCCAAAGUUAGAGUUAAGUGUAAAAGGAUGUCUUGUUGCUCAGACAACCAGGAUGUUGGCUUAGAAGCAGCCACUCAUUCAAAGAAUGCGUAAUAGCUCACUGGUCAAGUGACAAGGCGCCGAAGAUACACGGGGCUAAAACUCUACACCGAAGAUUAGGACGUUAAGCAAUUAACGUGGUAGGGGAGCGUCGUGUGCGGGCUGAAGCCAUAUCGAAAGAGGUGGUGGACUGCACACAAGUGAGAAUGCCGGCACGAGUAGCGAGAGUGGAGUGAGAAUCUCCACCGUCGAAUGUCCAAGGUUUCCUGGGGAAGGUUCGUCCUCCCAGGGUAAGUCGGGACCUAAGCUGAGAGCAAACGCUGUAGGCGAUGGAUAACAGGUAGAUAUUCCUGUACCACCGUAUACCGAUUAAGAGUCAAUGCAGGGACGCAGAAGGAUAGCUAAUCCACGGGGAUGGAAAUCCGUGGCCAAAUCAUGAGGCUGACAAGUAGGUAAGUCCGCUUGUCUUAAGGCUGGGUGAUGAUGGGGAGUGAAAUUUAGUAACGAAGUUAGUGAAUUCACGCUGACUAGAAAAUCUGCUAGAUAGGUAUAAGGUGCCCGUACCGCAAACCGACACAGGUGGACGAUGAGAGAAUCAUAAGACGGUCGAGUGACCCAUUGUUAAGGAACUAGGCAAAAUUACCCCGUAACUUCGGGAGAAGGGGAGCCCUCCGUUAAAAGAGGGCCGCAGUGAAAAGGCUCAAGCGACUGUUUACCAAAAACACAGCUCUCUGCAAAAUCGCAAGAUGACGUAUAGGGGGUGACGCCUGCCCGGUGCUGGAAGGUUAAGAGGAGGGGUUAGCGCAAGCGAAGCUCUGAAUUCAAGCCCCAGUGAACGGCGGCCGUAACUAUAACGGUCCUAAGGUAGCGAAAUUCCUUGUCGGGUAAGUUCCGACGCGCAUGAAUGGCGUAACGACUUGAGCACUGUCUCAACAAUGGACUCGGCGAAAAUGGAGUAUACGUGAAGAUGCGUAUUACCUGCAACUGGACGAAAAGACCCCGUAGAGCUUUACUGUAGCUUGAUAUUGGGUUCCGGAUGUUGAUGUACAGGAUAGGUGGGAGACUUUGAAGCAGGGGCGUCAGCUUCUGUGGAGUCAUCCUUGGGAUACCACUCUUCUGCAUUUGGAAUUCUAACUCCACGCCGUAAUCCGGGUGUGAGGACAGUGUCUGGUGGGCAGUUUGACUGGGGCAGUCGCCUCCUAAAGAGUAAUGGAGGCGCCCAAAGGUUCCCUCAAAACGGUUGGAAACCGUUUGUUGAGUGUAAAGGCAUAAGGGAGCUUGACUGCGAGACUUACAAGUCGAGCAGAUACGAAAGUAGGGCUUAGUGGUCCGGCGGUUGAAAAUGGGAUUGCCGUCGCUUAUCGGAUAAAAGUUACCUCGGGGAUAACAGGCUGAUACCCCCCAAGAGUUCACAUCGACGGGGGUGUUUGGCACCUCGAUGUCGGCUCGUCACAUCCUGGAGCUGUAGUCGGUUCCAAGGGUUGGGCUGUUCGCCCAUUAAAGUGGCACGCUAGCUGGGUUCAGAACGCCGUGAGGCAGUUCGGUCUCUAUCCGUUGCAGGCGUAGGAUAUUUGAAAGGAGUCUCCCCUAGUACGAGAGGACCGGGGUGAACGUACCUAUUGUGUACCAGUUGUUGUGCCAACAGCAUUGCUGGGUAGUGAAGUACGGACGGGAUAAACGCUGAAAGCAUCUAAGCGUGAAGCCCCCCUUAAGAUAAGAUAUCCCACAGAGUUAGUCUGGUAAGACCCCUUGUAGAUUACGAGGUUGAUAGGUUAGAGGUGUAAGCACAGUAAUGUGUUCAGCUGACUAAUACUAAUAGGUCGAGGGCUUGAU